UGACAUUUUCCCCUUAGAUUUACCCAGACAGUUUGAUGUGAUUUAUGGGGGCCAUUAGGAGUUCCUCUCCCCACCGCUGCUUCAUCCCUUACACCCUGUCCUCCUCUGACUAAGGGUAUGUCUACAUUCCCAGCACUACAGGUGCACAGCUGCAUCUAUACUGCUGUAGUGUAGACACUUACUACAGUGACGGUAGAGGAGUUUCCAUAGCUGAAGUACAUCCACCACUUUUCACACCCCUGAGUGACACAGCUCACUCAAGAAGAAAGUCAAGAUUUCAGCAGCUUAUAUCACACUGCAGGGGAACAAAGGAAACCUCAUUCGUUCAGUUUCAGACAUGUUAGCCAUGUCACUGAACGAUUGCCUUUGUACUCGGCUCCUGGACGUGCCUACUUCACAGCCCCACUUCUCCAGCAUAAUGACAAAGCGGGUAUCCCGAUUCCAUCAAAGAUGAGGUUGUAAAUGUAGGUGCUUCAGCUCCACUAGUAGAAGUUAAAAGCAGAACAGAAUGGUAUUGAUUUAAAGUAACAAAUGAUGCAAGUGGAGGUUGGCAGAAGCCCAGUGACCAUCGGCGGUGCACCUUCUGCAAUGCAGCUAUCCGAAGCUCAGCGUGUUAAUUAGUUACACCACCUCACGGACCCAGCAUUAAAAAGGACAAGGAGAGAGUUUUGCUCAGCUUUGUUACAUUUAGUUCA